GACGAACGCUGGCGGCGUGCUUAACACAUGCCAGUCGAACGGAAAGGCCUCUUUCGGGGGGUACUCGAGUGGCGAACGGGUGAGUAACACGUGAGUAACCUGCCCUUGACUUUGGGAUAACUUCAGGAAACUGGGGCUCAUACCGGAUAGGAGCUCCUGCUGCAUGGUGUGGGUUGGGAAGUUUCUGCGGUUGGGGAUGGACUCGCGGGUUAUCAGCUUGUUGGUGGGGUAGUGGCUUACCAAGGCUUUGACGGGUAGCCGGCCUGGGAGGGUGACCGGGCACAUUGGGGCUGGGAUACGGCCCAGACUCCUACGGGGGGCAACAGUGGGGAAUAUUGCACAAUGGGUGGAAGCCUGAUGCAGCAACGCCGGGUGCGGGAUGACGGCCUUCGGGUUGUAAACCGCUUUCGCUCAUGACGAAGCUUUGUGUGACGGUAGUGGGUAAAGAAGCACCGGCUAACUACGUG
rnacentral:rRNA from 1 species